UACGAAGGGGGCUAGCGUUGUUCGGAAUCACUGGGCGUAAAGCGCACGUAGGCGGAUUUUUAAGUCAGGGGUGAAAUCCUGGAGCUCAACCCCAGAACUGCCUUUGAUACUGAGGAUCUUGAGUCCGGGAGAGGUGAGUGGAACUCCGAGUGUAGAGGUGAAAUUCGUAGAUAUUCGGAAGAACACCAGUGGCGAAGGCGGCUCACUGGCCCGGUACUGACGCUGAGGUGCGAAAGCGUGGGGAGCAAACAGG
rnacentral:rRNA from 1 species